CAGUAGCCGCGGGAAUACGUAGGGUGCGAGCGUUAAUCGGAAUUACUGGGCGUAAAGGGUGCGUAGGCGGCUUGACAAGUCUUGUGUGAAAUCCAUGGGCUCAACCCAUAGUCUGCACGGGAAACUGUCGGGCUUGAGAAUGGGAGAGGUGAGUGGAAUUUCCGGUGUAGCGGUGAAAUGCGUAGAUAUCGGAAGGAACACCUGUGGCGAAAGCGGCUCACUGGACCAUUUCUGACGCUGAUGCACGAAAGCUAGGGGAGCAAACAGGAUUAGAUACCCGCGUAGUCCCUGUCUCUUAUAA
rnacentral:rRNA from 1 species